GACGAACGCUGGCGGCGUGCUUAACACAUGCAAGUCGAACGGUAAGGCCCUUCGGGGUACACGAGUGGCGAACGGGUGAGUAACACGUGGGUGAUCUGCCCUGCACUUCGGGAUAAGCCUGGGAAACUGGGUCUAAUACCGGAUAGGACCCUGGGAUGCAUGUCCUGGGGUGGAAAGCUUUUGCGGUGUGGGAUGGGCCCGCGGCCUAUCAGCUUGUUGGUGGGGUGAUGGCCUACCAAGGGGACGACGGGUAGCCGGCCUGAGAGGGUGACCGGCGACUCUGGGAGUAGGCUACGGCCCCGGCUCGUGCCGGAGGCCGCAGGGGGGAAUGUUGCACAACGGGCGCCAGCCUCAUGCAGCGACGCAUCGUGAGGGAUCACGCCAUUCGGGGUGUACACCUCUUUCAGCACCGACGAAGCGCAAGUGACGGUAGGUGCAGAAGAAGGACCGGCCAUCUACGUGCCAGCAGCCGCAGUAA
rnacentral:rRNA from 1 species